rnacentral:rRNA from 1 species
CGAGCGGUAACAUUUCUAGCUUGCUAGAAGAUGACGAGCGGCGGACGGGUGAGUAAUGCUUGGGAAUAUGCCUUAUGGUGGGGGACAACAGUUGGAAACGACUGCUAAUACCGCAUAAUGUCUACGGACCAAAGGGGGGGAUCUUCGGACCUCUCGCCAUUUGAUUAGCCCAAGUGAGAUUAGCUAGUUGGUGAGGUAAUGGCUCACCAAGGCGACGAUCUCUAGCUGGUUUGAGAGGAUGAUCAGCCACACUGGGACUGAGACACGGCCCAGACUCCUACGGGAGGCAGCAGUGGGGAAUAUUGCACAAUGGGCGCAAGCCUGAUGCAGCCAUGCCGCGUGUGUGAAGAAGGCCUUCGGGUUGUAAAGCACUUUCAGUAAGGAGGAAAGGGAUGUAGUUAAUAACUGCAUUCUGUGACGUUACUUACAGAAGAAGCACCGGCUAACUUCGUGCCAGCAGCCGCGGUAAUACGAGGGGUGCAAGCGUUAAUCGGAAUUACUGGGCGUAAAGCGUUCGUAGGCGGUUGAUUAAGCAAGAUGUGAAAGCCCAGGGCUCAACCUUGGAACUGCAUUUUGAACUGGUCAACUAGAGUACUGUAGAGGGUGGUGGAAUUUC